UUUAGUAAUCACAAAUGAUUUAAAAAUGCUAAGACUGCAAAACUACUAUUUUUUACGGUAAAAAUGUCAUUUAAUCCCCCAACUUUCAAAAAAUUGGCCAUUUUAUACAUCAACUUCGUAUGUGGCUGUUUAAAACAUGAACUAAACGUUGACUAAUUUUUAAAACAUGAUCUUUCAUUGAUCAGGCCAAAAUAGACAUGCCGUUAUCAGUCAUUAACGGAACUUCUAACGUCCGUUAUCAUCCGUUAACUUUAUUAGUCAAGUUUCAAAUUGUGGCCAUUUUAAACAUCAACUUCUUAUGUGGCCAUUUAAAACAUGAACUAAACGUUGACUACCAUUUAAGACAUGAAAAAUUCGUUUACAGGGCCAAAAUAGACAUGUCUUUAUCAGUAGAACCUAGAAACCCGUUAAUGACUGUUAAUCUGUCCAAAACAACGUCGUUUGAAAAUAAUCGAAAGAACAUAAAGAUUUUUCCCAUAUGAAAUUCCAUAUUAAAAAGUUUUAAGCAGAACCCAAGAACAUAGUUUGAUAAAGCGAUAAUCGCAGUGCCAGUAAUUGGAAACAAAUAAAGGUGUUUUCGUUUAUAUAUUUGUUUUAAAUUUUAAAAGGAAUCAUGGAAGCAAAUUGAAGACUCAUUAUAAGAUUGUUCGUCUUGUUUGGGCGGUUGUAGAAAUAGAUUUGGGGAACUAGGGUUUCAUUUAGAAAACAAUCCUGAUUUUCUUUUGAUUAUUCUCAAAACAAAGUCGUUUUAGGAAUACUAAUAGACUCGUUAACAAGUGAUAAUGAAUGUUAUAAGUUUUUUUAAUGAAUGAUGACAACAUGUUUAUUUUGGCUUGGUCAACGAAUUUCUCAUGUUUUAAAUGGUAGUCAACGCUUAGUUCAUGUUUAAAAUGGCCACAUAUAAAGUCGAUGUUUAAAAUGACCACAAUUUAAAACUUGACUAAUAAAGUCGUUAACGGAUGAUAACGGACGUUAGAAGUUCCGUUAAUGACUGAUAACGGCAUGUCUAUUUUGGUAUGGUCAACGAAUAAUCAUGUUUUAAAAGUUAGUCAACGUUUAGUUCAUGUUUUAAACGACCACAUACGAAGUUGAUGUAUAAAAUGACCAUUUUUUGAAAGUUGGGGGAUUAAUUGACAUUUUUCCCUAUUUUUUACCACCUUUUGCAACAAUAACCUUUUAUGUUGUACAUUUUUAAAAAUACCCCUUCCCUUUAACAGAAUGACCAAAUUACUCUCAUCUAAUAGGAACAUGUAAUUGGAAACUGAAAUUUUCUAGCCAAAUUUAUUUUUCCCGCAAAAAAAAAAAAUUCCGCCAAAUUUUUUUCCCGCCAAAAAAAUUCCCAUAACAAU
rnacentral:sRNA from 1 species